GCGGUUAUGGUGAAGUUGGUUAACACUCUGGAUUGUGGCUCCAGCACUCAGGGGUUCGAGUCCCCUUAAUCGCCCCA
rnacentral:tRNA from 1 species